AACGAACGCUGGCGGCAGGCUUAACACAUGCAAGUCGAACGGUACAGCAAUGUACAGUGGCGCACGGGUGAGUAACGCGUGGGAAUAUGCCCUUUAGUACGGAAUAGCCUCGGGAAACUGGGCUUAAUACCGUAUACGCCCUUCGGGGGAAAGAUUUAUCGCUAAAGGAUUAGCCCGCGUGAGAUUAGGUAGUUGGUGGGGUAAUGGCCUACCAAGCCUACGAUCUCUAGCUGGUCUGAGAGGAUGAUCAGCCACACUGGAACUGAGACACGGUCCAGACUCCUACGGGAGGCAGCAGUGGGGAAUAUUGGGCAAUGGACGAAAGUCUGACCCAGCCAUGCCGCGUGAGUGAUGAAGGCCUUAGGGUUGUAAAGCUCUUUCGUUGGUGACGAUAAUGACGGUAACCAAAGAAGAAGCCCCGGCUAACUUCGUGCCAGCCGCCGCCGUAA
rnacentral:rRNA from 1 species